rnacentral:rRNA from 1 species
UACGUAGGGCGCAAGCGUUGUCCGGAAUUAUUGGGCGUAAAGAGCUCGUAGGCGGCCUGUUGCGUCCGCUGUGAAAUCCCGGGGCUCAACCCCGGGCGUGCAGUGGAUACGGGCUGGCUGGAGGCAGGCAGGGGAGAACGGAAUUCCUGGUGUAGCGGUGAAAUGCGCAGAUAUCAGGAGGAACACCGGUGGCGAAGGCGGUUCUCUGGGCCUGUACUGACGCUGAGGAGCGAAAGCGUGGGGAGCGAACCGG